rnacentral:lncRNA from 1 species
CCCGAGUCCUCCUUUUGCACACACACGAAUACAAAGAGCCAUACGACCUUCGGGUAUCCUUUUUCCAUUUUUUUCCCCUACUUAAUCUUGUGUGUGUUUUCAAAUUUUUUAAAAAUAGAGAUCUGUGGCAGUGCUGGGGAUCAGAUUAGUGAAUAAUUAAAUUGCCAGAGUGUAUACUCCAUGUUGCAAAUGAAGGGUCCCCCAAAGAUGAAAACUUUGACUAAGAGGAACUGCUGUUUUGCAAGCGUUACCUGAAAACCUGUAACCAAGGCCAGCUGGAACUAAAAAUCAACCACCAUCAAGCGUAUGAAACCGAUCUGAGGUCACUGUACUUAUAAUCGUGUACACAUAGCUUUGUGAAGAGCAAAGAACAAAAGCAAGUAAACAAAAAAGCCAAAGAUGGCGUCUGACGGCCUUGAAAAAGCCUCGCACUCUUGUCCCUCCCUGAGAAGGCCCCUCCCCUCCCUGUCUCGUUGAGUGACCGGUAAUGUUUGCCAAUAGCAACCCUGCUUAUGCUCACACACACGCCCAUCGCCCAACCACCAAUCAUUGAGAGCCAGAAGGCAAGCGGGGCGGUGCUUUUCUGCGUGCGCGCGCUGUGGCUGAGUACACGAGCCGGAGCAACUGACUCAGCCACCACCCGGGUCUUGUUGAGUCAGCGGGCGUGGGGCUUCGAGGCACCUGUGGUGGAACACCCGUGGGGCUGCUAGAGUGGGACCCCGCGGCGAGCGUCCGCCCCUGCCCAGGACCUCAGCUUUCCUAGCCACAUAAUUACCCACGUUGACCCAGCAAGAUCCCCUACCGCGCCUCGACCUCUGGGCUCUCCACCGCCCGCCGGGGACUGUCCCCUGGUCCGGCGCACAGUGGCGGGGCUCCCGGUCCCUGCGCCUGACGACUGCUCGGCGUCGCUGCGCUCUCUGCCUGUAGCCAAAUCACACUGCCUGUCGGGAAUGGUUCUGUUGUCCCUGGCGCCCACCUUGUCAUCUUUGACUAAUAUUUAAUCGACUAACAUUUACCGAGGACUUGCUGGGCGCGUGAUAGGGUUCUAGGAGCUAACUUUCCAUUUUUCAGUUUCUCCAGAAAAGCAGUAAGUGCUCUUUUAUGUCAGGCACAUUUAUAUGAAAAUCUGAAAGUGGAAAUUAUGGUCUUACCAAGUUGCACUUUAGCAAAUGUAAAUAAAAAAGGAUUGUGCUUAUGCUAAGUUAAAAACUCAUCCCCUGAUCUGCCAAUAAACAUGUAAUUUGGGGAUUACAUGGAAUCAUUGUUUAAAGCCCUUCUGCCCUCUGGGUCUGCAAUUCUGUUUUGUACACCUAACGAUGAGGGGUUUUUUUGUUGUUUUUUGCAAAUCAUUAGAUGGGUCAGUCUUUCAGAAUGUAAGGAAAUUGUAUUUUAUGGUACCUGAUUACCUGCUCAUGUGUGAUAGGAUCUCAUUUCUGAUAGAAAAAUAGGUUUUGAGAGGAUCUUCAAACAGGUGAGCCAUUUUGCACCUUGAUGUGGAGGAGCAGAGUUGACCAACCAGGAGGAGCUUUAAGUGGCCAUUUUUCCUUUUUUAUUUCUUAAAAUGAAGAUUAUGAUAUGAAUUGCCAGGCUUUCUGUAAUCACGUUUAAGAAAGUCCGUUUCUAGCCUGACCCUGAGCAAGCCAAAGGCCCAUUAUAAGAGCAUAUAUCAUUCUGAGGGAUACUGUAUCACACACAUCUAUUAAGUAGUGAGAAAACUUAUUUUUCAUAGUUUGGAGGUGAACUCAGUCAAGCAGAAAAUUCAAACUCAGAAUGGGGAGAAAGCAAGCAAGGGUACUGGCAAGAGUAUGAUAUAUUCAGUCCCAACAAAAAUACAUGUGACUCAGGAGAGAGGGAUGUUUAAGAUUAUGAACAGUCUCAGUGGAUAACUAGGUUGAUAUAUAGUACCUGCAAUAUAAAGAACAUUUGAGAAGUUUGUAAUGGUUUUCAUUUGAAAUAUUUAGACUGCUGAAAGUUUUAAAUUUUUAGAAGCAUAGGUUUUGAUGUUUAAAACUUGAGGGAGAAAAUCCCUUUACCUUUGUUUAAAAGUUAUUAAACGUUAGUGCUAAUUGUACUUGUGCAGUAUUAACAGCUAUAUUACACAGUAAAUGUGGGGUGAAGUCCACUUAGAAAAUGUUAAACUGCUUUUCCAGACAUUGUUUUAGCAUAUUUUCAGUUAGUGUGUGUAUGUUAAUGUAUAAUUGAUAGAACAAAGUUACAUUUUUAAAACUGCUACUGGUAUAAAUAUUUACCCUUUCCUCAGAUUGUGUAGGUUUUGUGCAUAGUUUUUACAAAUCUUGAAUUUACCAGACCGUCUUUGCACUGUGGGUUUUGUAGAAGUCCAGCAUUUUUGUGUGUGUGUGUGUGGUUUUUUUUGGUACCGGGGCAACUUGCUCUUUCGAGGCAGGCGCUGGAACCGCUGAGCUAAAUCCCUGGCCCGAGAAGACCAACAUUUUUAUGGCGAUAAAGUGUUACUUCUUUUUUGGUACUGGGGAUUGAACUUGGGUCCUUGUGCUUUCGAGGCAGGUGGCAGAACCACUGAGCUAAAUCCCCAGC